rnacentral:rRNA from 1 species
AACGGGUGAGUAUACAUGAGGAACCUGCCCUCGGGACGGGGAUAGCCAAUGGAAACGUUGGGUAAUACCCGAUGUGAGUAUCGAAGGCAUCUUUGAUACUUGAAAGGGAGCUUUCAAGCUUCGCGCGGGGAUGGCCUCAUGGCGCAUUAGUUAGUUGGCGGGGUAACGGCCCACCAAGACGAUGAUGCGUAGCCGGUCUGAGAGGCUGAACGGCCACAUUGGGACUGAGACACGGCCCAGACUCCUACGGGAGGCAGCAGUAGGGAAUUUUCGGCAAUGGGGGAAACCCUGACCGAGCAACGCCGCGUGAGUGAUGAAGGUCUUCGGAUUGUAAAGCUCUGUUGUAAGGGAAGAAUGAAUUGGAUAGAAUCCGAUUGUGACGGUACCUUACCAGAAAGCUACGGCUAACUACGUGCCAGCAGCCGCGGUAAUACGUAGGUAGCGAGCGUUAUCCGGAAUUAUUGGGCGUAAAGGGUGCGUAGGCGGCUUGUUAAGUUUAAGGUGAAAGAAUGGGGCUCAACCCCAUAAAGCCUUAGAUACUGGCAAGCUAGAGUACUGGAGAGGGUAGUGGAAUUCCAUGUGUAGCGGUAAAAUGCGUAGAUAUAUGGAGGAACACCGGUGGCGAAGGCGGCUACCUAGACAGAGACUGACGCUGAGGCACGAAAGCGUGGGGAGCAAAUAGGAUUAGAUACCCUAGUAGUCCACGCCGUAAACGAUGAAUGCUAGAUAUCGGGGCAACUCGGUGUCGAAACUAACGCGAUAAGCAUUCCGCCUGUGGAGUAUGCACGCAAGUGUGAAACAUAAAGGAAUUGACGGGGGCCCGCACAAGCGGUGGAGUAUGUGGUUUAAUUCGACGCAACGCGAAGAACCUUACCAGGCCUUGACAUCCCUUGCAAAACUCUAGAGAUAGAGCAGAGGUUAUCGAAGGUGACAGGUGGUGCAUGGUUGUCGUCAGCUCGUGUCGUGAGAUGUUGGGUUAAGUCCCGCAACGAGCGCAACCCUUGUCUUCAGUUACCAUCAUUAAGUUGGGGACUCUGGAGAGACUGCCGGUGAUAAACCGGAGGAAGGUGGGGAUGACGUCAAAUCAUCAUGCCCCUUAUGGCCUGGGCUACACACGUACUACAAUGGCUGUUACAACGUGAA